rnacentral:tRNA from 1 species
GAUCGGCUGGAUCUUCGGAUCUCCCCGAUAUGAACCUUCCCGUGCUUUUUAGAACAUAGAUGGCACCAGUCAGGUGACCAUCGAAACGUAAUACGCCGCGAUGACUUCGGUCACGACGGUAUGGCGAGCUUUCGCCGUCCACGUUUCUCUUUCUUCAAGAAGACAAAAAACCGCGUCGAUCCAGUUUAGGCUGGGCCGGUUCCCCGAAUGGGCCCGUAGCUCAGUUGGUUAGAGCACACGCUUGAUAAGCGUGGGGUCGGAAGUUCAAGUCUUCCCGGGCCCACCAUUCGCAUAUGCGAAUGAGGGUUAGGGAUGAUGGAAUGUGGCUGAUGCGGAACGUUGCCGAACCUGGUUUAUACCGGGUGAUCGAGCUGGAGGGGCUGUAGCUCAGCUGGGAGAGCACCUGCUUUGCAAGCAGGGGGUCAGCGGUUCGAUCCCGCUCAGCUCCACCAAAUCGAUUGGUGUUGAAGCUGACGGUAACGAAGCGAAAGCUUCGCAAGCGCAAGGCGCGUCGCCAAUCGUUUGGCGCCCCCGCGGAGCGCCUUCGGCGCGUGAGCGACAAAUUUGUCUUUUGAAGAAAUAAAAGUUUUGCAUCGGCUUAUGGCUGAUGCGUGUUCUGCAUACAUUGUGAAGAGAAGAUUGAUCUGGAGGCUUCCAGGUGUUUUGGGUUCUGCCCAAGGCGUCCGAGCCCAGUUCCUGUGAACCCAUGGAUGGCCUAGCCGGCCGGAUGUGGUGGAGGGAUUGGAGGUAGGAAGGAAGCUUGUCGCUCUGAGCCGUUGUUGUUUGUGGUCUUUCGGGACUGCAUCUGACGGACGGCUUGAUUACCGUUGCCUGACCGCGCGGUAUCGGAUCAUAUCUCGAGAAGCUGGUCUUAAGACAGGCUGCAAGCGAGCUGCUCGGCGUAGCUCCAAUAAAGCAGACCUGUCGAACACGUUAAUGGCAUUGUUGGAUUGACUGGGUUGUAAAAGGUAACCCGGUCUGUUGCCGUUCCUUUGGAACGGGCAACGAGACGAUGAGCAUUGGCAAUGAGAACGAUUAAGUGUCGUAAGGGCAUUUGGUGGAUGCCUUGGCAUGCACAGGCGAUGAAGGACGUGAUACGCUGCGAAAAGCCG